rfam:Schistosoma mansoni strain Puerto Rico chromosome 1, complete genome
AUCCAGCUGACGCGUCCUAAAUAGGAAGAAACGUGUGUCCUGGAU